rnacentral:rRNA from 1 species
UGCAAGUCGAACGGGAACUUUUUAAGUUCUAGUGGCGGACGGGUGAGUAACGCGUGAGAAUUUACCUCUAGGAGGGGAACAACAGUUAGAAAUGACUGCUAAUGCCCCAUAUGCUUUAUAGUGAAACGGAUUCGUCCGCCUGGAGAAAAGCUCGCGUCUGAUUAGCUAGUUGGUAAGGUAAAGGCUUACCAAGGCGACGAUCAGUAGCUGGUUUGAGAGGAUGAUCAGCCACACUGGAACUGAGACACGGUCCAGACUCCUACGGAGGCAGCAGUGGGGAAUUUUCUGCAAUGGGCGCAAGCCUGACAGAGCAAUACCGCGUGAGGGAUGAAGGCCCGUGGGUCGUAAACCUCUUUUUUCAAGGAGGAAGUUCUGACGUGUACUUGAAGAAUAAGCAUCGGCUAACUCCGUGCCAGCAGCCGCGGUAAGACGGAGGAUGCAAGUGUUAUCCGGAAUUACUGGGCGUAAAGCGUCUGUAGGUGGUUUAGUAAGUCGAUUGUUAAAGCUUGGGGCUUAACUCCAAAUCAGCAAUGGAAACUGCUAGACUUGAGUAUGGUAGAGGUAAAAGGAAUUUCCAGUGGAGCGGUGAAAUGCGUAGAUAUUGGAAAGAACACCGAUGGCGAAGGCAUUUUACUGGGCCAUAACUGACACUCAGAGACGAAAGCUAGGGUAGCAAAUGGGAUUAGAUACCCCAGUAGUCCUAGCUGUAAACGAUGGAUACUAGAUGUUGCACGUAUCGACCCGUGCAGUGUCAUAGCUAACGCGUUAAGUAUCCCGCCUGGGAAGUAUGCGCGCAAGCGUGAAACUCAAAGGAAUUGACGGGGGCCCGCACAAGCGGUGGAGCAUGUUGGUUUAAUUUGAUGCAACGCGAAGAACCUUACCAGGGUUUGACAUGACAGGAUUCUUCUGAGAAGAGGAAGUGCCUUUUUAAGAACCUGUACACAGGUGGUGCAUGGCUGUCGUCAGCUC